rnacentral:rRNA from 1 species
AGUGAACGCUGGCGGUAGGCCUAACACAUGCAAGUCGAACGGCAGCACAGUAAGAGCUUGCUCUUACGGGUGGCGAGUAGCGGACGGGUGAGGAAUACAUCGGAAUCUACUUUUUCGUGGGGGAUAACGUAGGGAAACUUACGCUAAUACCGCAUACGACCUACGGGUGAAAGCAGGGGAUCUUCGGACCUUGCGCGAUUGAAUGAGCCGAUGUCGGAUUAGCUAGUUGGCGGGGUAAAGGCCCACCAAGGCGACGAUCCGUAGCUGGUCUGAGAGGAUGAUAGGCCACACUGGAACUGAGACACGGUCCAGACUCCUACGGGAGGCAGCAGUGGGGAAUAUUGGACAAUGGGCGCAAGCCUGAUCCAGCCAUACCGCGUGGGUGAAGAAGGCCUUCGGGUUGUAAAGCCCUUUUGUUGGGAAAGAAAAGCAGCAGGUUAAUACCCCGCUGUUCUGACGGUACCCAAAGAAUAAGCACCGGCUAACUUCGUG